rnacentral:rRNA from 1 species
UGGGGGAUAUUGCACAAUGGGCGAAAGCCUGAUGCAGCGACGCCGCGUGGGGGAUGAAGGCCUUCGGGUUGUAAACUUGUUUUGCUCUGAACAAGGCAUGCCUUUGGGGUGUGUGGAGUGUAGGGGUUGAUUAGCGCCGGCUAACUACGUGCCAGCAGCCGCGGUAAUACGUAGGGCGCGAGCGUUGUCCGGAAUUAUUGGGCGUAAAGGGCUUGUAGGUGGCUGGUUGCGUCUGUCGUGAAAGCUCAUGGCUUAACUGUGGGUUUGCGGUGGGUACGGGCUGGCUUGAGUGCAGUAGGGGAGGCUGGAAUUCCUGGUGUAGCGGUGGAAUGCGCAGAUAUCAGGAGGAAUACCGGUGGCGAAGGCGGGUCUCUGGGCUGUUACUGACGCUGAGGAGCGAAAGCGUGGGGAGCGAACAGG